rnacentral:rRNA from 1 species
UGGGGAAUAUUGGACAAUGGGGGCAACCCUGAUCCAGCAAUGCCGCGUGUGUGAAGAAGGCCUUCGGGUUGUAAAGCACUUUUAUCGGGAACGAAACAUUGUCGGCCAAUACCCGGCAAGACUGACGGUACCCGAGGAAUAAGCACCGGCUAACUCCGUGCCAGCAGCCGCGGUAAUACGGAGGGUGCAAGCGUUAAUCGGAAUUACUGGGCGUAAAGCGUGCGCAGGCGGUUUGUUAAGUCUGCUGUGAAAUCCCCGAGCUCAACUUGGGAAUUGCAGUGGAUACUGGCAAGCUGGAGUACGGUAGAGNAAGGUGGAAUUCCCGGUGUAGCAGUGAAAUGCGCAGAGAUCGGGAGGAACACCAGUGGCGAAGGCGGCCUUCUGGACCAGUACUGACGCUCAUGCACGAAAGCGUGGGGAGCAAACA